rnacentral:misc_RNA from 1 species
GUCACGUAUUAUAGAAGGAGAUAAAGGAACAAGAAUAGAACACGAAAUGAGUGAGAAAAGUCCACAUAGGUGGCCGAGUAUUGGAGGGAAAAUUAGUUAACAGUUGGUUAAGAGAGUCAACUGUUGUAACAGCUCUAUUGGCGGGAGUAAAAGUAAUAAUUAGAGCUGAAUAGCUCCUGUAUAGAUCGUUCAAGAUCUGAAUCUUAUCUCUCUCUAAUUUCUCUGUUCUGUAUUUGUUCUCCUCUUCUGUAACUGCUUUCUAUCCUACCACUAGCCUAGUUUGAAAAGGGCUCAAACAGUUUAUUGGCAGAAAACCAUACCACGAUUGCCUCUGCAAAUUGACAUGAACAGAAGAAUAGCAUACACAAUUGAUACCUCAAAAAUUCUUCAAGCUGCAGAUAUACCAGUCUCUCCAUAAACCUUCAAAGUUAUAAAACAUGGAUUUCAAUGUUCAUUAACAUUGCCCUUACCAUGAUCAAAAAGAGAACAAUAUCUAGCCUCCUUUCAAGAGUCUACCAUAGUUGAUUUGAACAGUUGGUCAAAAUCACAACAAUUAGUCCAACAUAUAAAUUGUUGUUCCAAGGCGAUUACAACUAAUGUUUCAGACUAAUACUUACAAAAUCAGCUCCUUGAGUUACUUGCCAAGCUAUGCUAUAAUGGAUCACAAAGAUAUAUCUUUUAAGUUUCAAAAUUUCAUAGGAAAAUACUGGAAGAAAUCCAGGAAGAGCAUAAAAAUCAAGCUCACUAUGAGAUAUAUCCAGAUGGAGUAAGUACUAUGGUACUUGUUGAAAUCCCCAACUUCCAAAAAUUUUGCUGUAAAUUUAAAAAAGUCAUUUGGCCAAACUCCAAAAGGUGCUUCCAUACACUGUCCACAAAAGACCAUUUAUUCCCCAUCUUGGCACAUAAGAAAGAAUAUUCAUUCAUUGAUAAUGGACGAACCCAAUUAAUACCUAAAAUAACAAUGAAUAAGAUGGUGACAGUUAUCUCCCAUUUAUUUCAUAUAAAUGCAUCUAUUAGCUGCAAGAACUAUUCAUCACCAAGUUGCUCGUAAUAAAAAAAUAGAAUCAAGGAAGUACACCACAAGAAAAGCACCACAUUAAAUGGAGCAUUGGUGUUUCAAAGCUCCUACCAAAAGUUCUCCAGCUGUUGCCUAAUGAUAAGCCUUCUCUAUAUCCUUCAAAAGAAUAAUGCGCAAUAAGAUCACUCCUUCAUAGACAUUCAGAAUUUUCCACAGUAGUUUAUUCAAUAAUUAAUACUUUGUUCACCAAUGGCGUCUUUGAUCCAUUAGUUUUACCUAAUACAUGAACUAUGGAGAAAGCAAUAAUCUUUUUGAAUGUAGAGCAGUUCCUGUUCAGAAUAUAUUUCAUCAGUUAUCAUUAACCAUCUAAUUCUAUAGGGAGAAACGGAUUAUAAUCAUUCUAACCAAAACGAUUUUCUCCAUGUCCAGAUAACAAAACCCAUCCAGUUUCAUAAUCCAACAAAGUUAACGAUAAUUCUUAUCUCCCUUAGAGGCACAAGGUACAAUAAGGUGCUAAGAGGCAUUGGAGCCUAGGCACAUGGUUUAGGCAUGGAUACAAACCUAAAAGAGGUCAG